UACAGAGGGUGCGAGCGUUGUUCGGAAUUACUGGGCGUAAAGCGCGCGUAGGCGGCCCGGUAAGUCCGCUGUGAAAGUCAAAGGCUCAACCUUUGAAUGCCGGUGGAUACUGUCGGGCUAGAGUCCGGAAGAGGCGAGUGGAAUUCCUGGUGUAGCGGUGAAAUGCGUAGAUAUCUGGAGGAACACCGGUGGCGAAGGCGACAUCCUGGACCGGUAUUGACGCUGAGGCGCGAAAGCCAGGGGAGCAAACGGG
rnacentral:rRNA from 1 species